AAAGAUUAAGCCAUGCAUGUCUAAGUAUAAACGUUCAAUAAACGUGAGACCGCGAAUGGCUCAUUAAAACAGCUAUAAUUCACUUGAUCUUGACACAAUCCUACUACUUGGAUAACUGUGGUAAUUCUAGAGCUAAUACAUGCAUUAAAGCUCUGACCUCCUCACGGAAAGAGUGCAUUUAUUAGAACAAAACCAAGCAAGCGGCUUCGGCUGUUUUCGGUUGACUCAUAGUAACUGAGCUGAUCGCAUGGUCUUGCACCGGCGACGUGUCUUUCAAGUAUCUGCCGUAUCAACUUUCGAUGGUAGUGUAUCUGACUACCAUGGUGAUCACGCGUAACGGAGAAUAAGGGUUCGACUCCGGAGAGUUCGCCUGAGAAAUCGCGAACACAUCUAAGGAAGGCAGCAGGCGCGAAAAUUACCCACUCUCAGCACGAGGAGGUAGUGACGAAAAAUAACGAGACCGUUCUCUUUCGAGGCCGGUCAUCGGAAUGGGUACAAUUUAAACCCUUUAACGAGUAUCUAUGAGAGGGCAAGUCUGGUGCCAGCAGCCGCGGUAAUUCCAGCUCUCAAAGUGCAUAGAAUUAUUGCUGCGGUUAAAAAGCUCGUAGUUGGAUCUGUGCCAUAGGACGUGGUCCACCUUCUGGGUGCGUACUAUGUUCCUAGGCUUUUUGCUGGUUUUCCCGUCGUAGCCUUCAUUGGUUGCGGCGGGUGGCUGGCGAGUUUACUUUGAGAAAAUCAGAGUGCUCAACACAGGCGUAUCGCUUGAAUGAUUGUGCAUGGAAUAAUAGAAAAGGAUUUCGGUCCUCUUUUAUUGGUUUUGUGGACUGAGAUAAUGGUUAACAGGGACCAACGGGGGCAUUCGUAUCGCUGCGUGAGAGGUGAAACUCUUGGACCGUAGCGAGACGCCCUACUGCGAAAGCAUUUGCCAAGAAUG
rnacentral:rRNA from 1 species